rnacentral:rRNA from 1 species
CAUGGCUCAGAUUGAACGCUGGCGGCAGGCCUAACACAUGCAAGUCGAGCGGCAGCGGGAAAGUAGCUUGCUACUUUUGCCGGCGAGCGGCGGACGGGUGAGUAAUGCCUGGGGAUCUGCCCAGUCGAGGGGGAUAACUACUGGAAACGGUAGCUAAUACCGCAUACGCCCUACGGGGGAAAGCAGGGGACCUUCGGGCCUUGCGCGAUUGGAUGAACCCAGGUGGGAUUAGCUAGUUGGUGAGGUAAUGGCUCACCAAGGCGACGAUCCCUAGCUGGUCUGAGAGGAUGAUCAGCCACACUGGAACUGAGACACGGUCCAGACUCCUACGGGAGGCAGCAGUGGGGAAUAUUGCACAAUGGGGGAAACCCUGAUGCAGCCAUGCCGCGUGUGUGAAGAAGGCCUUCGGGUUGUAAAGCACUUUCAGCGAGGAGGAAAGGUUGGUAGCUAAUAACUGCCAGCUGUGACGUUACUCGC